rnacentral:tRNA from 1 species
GGAGGGUACAGCUCAGUGGCAGAGCGCAUGCUUAGCGCGCGCGAGGUCCUGGGUUCAAUCCCCAGCACCUCCU